GAUGAAGAACGUAGUGAAAUGCGAUAAGUAGUGUGAAUUGCAGAAUUCAGUGAAUCAUCGAAUCUUUGAACGCACAUUGCGCCCCUCGGUAUUCCGUGGGGCAUGCCUGUUCGAGCGUCAUUUAACCCCUCAAGCCUAGCUUGGUAUUGGGUGCUUGUCCCGCCUCUCGCGCGGCGACUCACCUCAAAGUCAUUGGCAGCCCGCAUCUCGCCGGCCGUGAGCGCAGCACAGACGCGCUCUUGGCAACGACGGAUCGGCUCUCCAAAAGCUUAUUUCAACCACUGACCUCGGAUCAGGUAGGGAUACCCGCUGAACUUAAACAUAUCAAUAAGCGGAGGA
rnacentral:misc_RNA from 1 species